rfam:Lactococcus raffinolactis 4877 genomic scaffold, Scaffold1808
UAUAAAUACGCUCCUUUUCGUGUUUAUAGGUGGCAUAGAGAAAAGACUUUUCCGAGUGAAUUUCUCUAUGCUUUUAUUAUACAA